rnacentral:misc_RNA from 1 species
UCCGGUUUAUCACCGGCAGUCACCUUAGAGUGCCCAACUAAAUGCUGGCAACUAAGAUCAAGGGUUGCGCUCGUUACGGGACUUAACCCAACAUCUCACGACACGAGCUGACGACAACCAUGCACCACCUGUCACCGCUGUCCCCGAAGGGAAAGAUCUAUCUCUAGACCGGGCAGCGGGAUGUCAAGACCUGGUAAGGUUCUUCGCGUAGCUUCGAAUUAAACCACAUGCUCCACCGCUUGUGCGGGUCCCCGUCAAUUCCUUUGAGUUUCAGCCUUGCGGCCGUACUCCCCAGGCGGAGUGCUUAAUGCGUUUGCUCCAGCACUAAGGGGCGGAAACCCCCUAACACUUAGCACUCAUCGUUUACGGCGUGGACUAC